CAGCAGGACACUGAAGGGGUCGGAUUCUUGUUUGCUCCUGGAUAUUCACACACGGCUCAGAUAGUGUGGAACUCAGAUGGACAGCAAAACUGAUGAAGCAUCGUUCAUGUAUGCAGACCUGCAUUGCCCUGCCGAGUCCCAUCGAGACUGUAUGUCUAAAGUUGUGUGUCCCAGGCAAAAUACAUCUGCUGCAUGGUUCCCACGUCUCCGCGUCAUUUGCAUGCAAUCAUCAACAACACAACGCAGAUAAAUAAGAGGGGUUACACAGAAUAAUCAUCCAACUGUUUCGCCACCACGACGCCAGACACGAGGACAUUGGUCACCGAAGGAGAUGCAGAAGCAUGAUUCGUCACUGAAGACCACUUUCUGCCAGUCUUCAGAAGUCCACUCGCUGUGUUCUCUGGCCCACUAAAGCCGUUUCUCCAUUUGUUUCUUGUUCAGCAUCGGUUUUACUGCUGGAACACGAGAUUUGAAGCCGAGUUCGCGCAGACGACGGUAAGUGGUUGAUCUGGAGACGUCAGCGCCGGUCUGCUUGUUCCACAAGUCGGUGAGCUCGGAAGUGGACUUGAACCGGUUGCUGACUGCGAUCUUUCUCAGCUGCUGACCUUGCCCUUGAUACAUGCUAAGAAUGAUACCACCAGACUCAAAGAAUGUCUGGAAGAACUUGAGAAACAUAAAACUCAAGUAUUUAUCUAAGAGAGAUGUUAAAUAAUCAUGUUUUGAAAAAAAAAUGCUAGCUGGUGAGUCUGCACAAAGAUUUGUAGAUUUACUACAAAACAAAAAGAGAUGUCCAUAAUCUCUUCUGAAGAUAUCUUCUGGCUUACUAGAAACA